rnacentral:rRNA from 1 species
UACAGAGGUCUCAAGCGUUUGUUCGGAUUCAUUGGGCGUAAAGGGUGCGUAGGUGGCGCCGUAAGUCAGGUGUGAAAUUUCGGAGCUUAACUCCGAAACUGCAUUUGAUACUGCGGUGCUUGAGGACUGGAGAGGAGACUGGAAUUUACGGUGUAGCAGUGAAAUGCGUAGAGAUCGUAAGGAAGACCAGUGGCGAAGGCGGGUCUCUGGGCAUUUCCUGACGCUGAGGCGCGAAAGCGUGGGGAGCAAACAGG